rnacentral:rRNA from 1 species
UGGCGCUGGCGGCAUGCCUUACACAUGCAAGUCGAACCUUUACAGGUCUUCGGAUGCUGACGAGUGGCGAACGGGUGAGUAAUACAUCGGAACGUGCCCAGUAAUGGGGGAUAGCUCGGCGAAAGCCGGAUUAAUACCGCAUACGCCCUGAGGGGGAAAGUGGGGGACCGCAAGGCCUCACGUUAUUGGAGCGGCCGAUGGCUGAUUAGCUAGUUGGUAGGGUAAAGGCCUACCAAGGCGACGAUCAGUAGCUGGUCUGAGAGGACGAUCAGCCACACUGGGACUGAGACACGGCCCAGACUCCUACGGGAGGCAGCAGUGGGGAAUUUUGGACAAUGGGGGAAACCCUGAUCCAGCAAUGCCGCGUGUGCGAAGAAGGCCUUCGGGUUGUAAAGCACUUUUGUCAGGGAAGAAAUCCUUUGGGCUAAUACCCUAGGGGGAUGACAGUACCUGAAGAAUAAGCACCGGCUAACUACGUGCCAGCAGCCGCGGUAAUACGUAGGGUACAAGCGUUAAUCGGAAUUACUGGGCGUAAAGCGUGCGCAGGCGGUUGUGUAAGACAGGUGUGAAAUCCCCGGGCUUAACCUGGGAAUUGCAUUUGUGACUGCACGACUAGAGUGUGUCAGAGGGGGGUGGAAUUCCACGUGUAGCAGUGAAGUGCGUAGAUAUGUGGAGGAACACCAAUGGCGAAGGCAGCCCCCUGGGAUAACACUGACGCUCAUGCACGAAAGCGUG